CAAGUAUUCAAUUAUACUAGCUUGUCUAUUACCCAGGUUGAGAAGAGAUCGGCUAGAAAAUACACUUUUAAUGACUGCUAUCCUCUUCCAAGCACAGCUAAUCUGUAACUACAUAACUGUGACUAUGGAGCAUGGAAACCACGAACUAUGAACUUCUUCAGGAAAGGAACAUGUCUUAUUCAUGGAAACACAGGAUCUAGCAUGGAGAACAUGUAUCUGUAACUUGAAUUAGAUCAACUUACGACAAAGAGAUAAUGGCCUUUCUUCUAAAAAUCCACCUCCACUUCUAAUCCAAAAUUG